AGGUGAAUCCGACAUGGGUGAAGCAUCGGCAAAGUGGACCUACCACAAAGUUAUUGAUUUAAACUACUGAGAUCGUCCGUAAGACCAAAAACGUAGGUUGUAGCUUCACGGUCGUAGAUUUGAUUUCACGCGUGGCGCGUUUAGAAAGGCGAAAAGGUGGCGAAAAGCGACAACUUCCACGACGACGUCGCCCGGAAUCGUGGAACGAACGAAAUAACAACGAUCGAAACUUAAAACGGGGCAGCGGCGCCCACGAGUGGCGGUCGACGAUGGGGUGACGAUCAAUUCGUCAAUAAAGUGCGCCACAUUGCUGCUCGAACAGACGGACGUUUCGUUCGUUAAAUACAGAAGCCGUAGAAUCAACAAGUUGUAGCACCGCAUUUCGAAGGGCAUCCACCUUCUCCUGGGGUACCUCUUCAGCCAUAGUUCUAUACAUUUUUCGAAAGAAAAAAAAAUUAGUUCUGUACUGAUAAGGAACAAAGUGAAAAGUAACAAAGUUAAUAACGGUUAACUUACAAUAAUUAUACAGGUUGAUUUGCAACUUUGGGAUGAAAUAAUUGUUAAUUAAAAAAAAUCAAAGUCCACAGCACUCAGCCUUCGAAAACUAACUGGACAAAAAACAUGCAAUUGCAAACGUCAAAAAACCUUCACGGAUUCAUCUUAAACAAAUAAUUAUGUGAGGGCGCCACUGUAUUUGUAAACAAACCCAAUUGAAAUAAUUAAUUAAUUGAUUUAGCCGUUUGUAAUUAUCAAUAAAACUCAUUUCAAUUGUAA